rnacentral:rRNA from 1 species
GACGAACGCUGGCGGCGUGCUUAACACAUGCAAGUCGAACGGAAAGGCCCUGCUUUUGUGGGUGCUCGAGUGGCGAACGGGUGAGUAACACGUGAGUAACCUGCCCUUGACUUUGGGAUAACUUCAGGAAACUGGGGCUAAUACCGGAUAGGAGCUCCUGCUGCAUGGUGGGGGUUGGAAGGUUUCGGCGGUUGGGGAUGGACUCGCGGCUUAUCAGCUUGUUGGUGGGGUAGUGGCUUACCAAGGCUUUGACGGGUAGCCGGCCUGAGAGGGUGACCGGCCACAUUGGGGCUGAGAUACGGCCCAGACUCCUACGGGAGGCAGCAGUGGGGAAUAUUGCACAAUGGGCGGAAGCCUGAUGCAGCAACGCCGCGUGCGGGAUGACGGCCUUCGGGUUGUAAACCGCUUUCGCCUGUGACGAAGCGUGAGUGACGGUAAUGGGUAAAGAAGCACCGGCUAACUACGUG